rnacentral:rRNA from 1 species
UACGGAGGUCUCAAGCGUUGUUCGGAUUCAUUGGGCGUAAAGGGUGCGUAGGCGGCGCGGUAAGUCGGGUGUGAAAUCUCGGGGCUUAACUCCGAAACUGCAUUCGAUACUGCCGUGCUUGAGGACUGGAGAGGAGACUGGAAUUUACGGUGUAGCGGUGAAAUGCGUAGAUAUCGUAAGGAAGACCAGUGGCGAAGGCGGGUCUCUGGGCCGAUAUUGACGCUGAGGCACGAAAGCGUGGGGAGCAAACAGG